rnacentral:rRNA from 1 species
AUUGAACGCUGGCGGCAGGCCUAACACAUGCAAGUCGAGCGGCAGCGGGAAAGUAGCUUGCUACUUUUGCCGGCGAGCAGCGGACGGGUGAGUAAUGCCUGGGAAAUUGCCCAGUCGAGGGGGAUAACAGUUGGAAACGACUGCUAAUACCGCAUACGCCCUACGGGGGAAAGCAGGGGACCUUCGGGCCUUGCGCGAUUGGAUAUGCCCAGGUGGGAUUAGCUAGUUGGUGAGGUAAUGGCUCACCAAGGCGACGGUCCCUAGCUGGUCUGAGAGGAUGAUCAGCCACACUGGAACUGAGACACGGUCCAGACUCCUACGGGAGGCAGCAGUGGGGAAUAUUGCACAAUGGGGGAAACCCUGAUGCAGCCAUGCCGCGUGUGUGAAGAAGGCCUUCGGGUUGUAAAGCACUUUCAGCGAGGAGGAAAGGUUGAUGCCUAAUACGUAUCAACUGUGACGUUACUCGCAGAAGAAGCACCGGCUAACUCCGUGCCAGCCGCCGCAGUAAAAC